rnacentral:rRNA from 1 species
AUUGAACGCUGGCGGCAGGCCUAACACAUGCAAGUCGAGCGGGAACUUCGGUUCUAGCGGCGGACGGGUGAGUAAUGCGUAGGAAGCUACCCGACAGAGGGGGAUACCAGUUGGAAACGACUGUUAAUACCGCAUAAUGUCUACGGACCAAAGUGUGGGACCUUCGGGCCACAUGCUGUCGGAUGCGCCUACGUGGGAUUAGCUAGUUGGUGAGGUAAUGGCUCACCAAGGCGACGAUCCCUAGCUGGUUUGAGAGGAUGAUCAGCCACACUGGAACUAAGACACGGUCCAGACUCCUACGGGAGGCAGCAGUGGGGAAUAUUGGACAGUGGGCGAAAGCCUGAUCCAGCCAUGCCGCGUGUGUGAAGAAGGCCUUCGGGUUGUAAAGCACUUUAAGCGAGGAGGAGGCUACUGAGACUAAUACUCUUGGAUAGUGGACGUUACUCGCAGAAUAAGCACCGGCUAACUCUGUGCCAGCCGCCGCGGUAACAC